CGUAGGUGACCAGCGUUGUCCGGCUUUACUGGGCGUAAAGAGCGCGCAGGCGGUCGUUCAAGUCGAGUGUGAAAGCCCCCGGCUCAACUGGGGAGGGUCAUUCGAUACUGAUCGACUCGAAGGCAGGAGAGGGUAGUGGAAUUCCCGGUGUAGUGGUGAAAUGCGUAGAUAUUGGGAGGAACACCAGUGGCGAAGGCGACUACCUGGCCUGUUCUUGACGCUGAGGCGCGAAAGCUAGGGGAGCAAACGGG
rnacentral:rRNA from 1 species